rnacentral:lncRNA from 1 species
AUAAAUAUGCAGGUGUCAUCAUUAGCAUUAAGUAUGUUUUAGUUCCCAACAACACAAUGACUAGACUAUUUCUUUUGAUAAUAGUUAAGUUUACUUGGUCCUUUUCCUUUUAGAAUUGCACAUCCUCGAGUGGAUGCUCCUCUUUUUCAAUGGAAAAAUAUAAUGAUGAUAAUCUGCUAGAGUGUAUUGCCUAUGGGGCAAGUGUAGCGACCGGUUUUUCAGAAAAUAAUUUCCAGAAAACAAUUCUUUGUGUUCACCAGCCCCACGACUAAUGUUAGCUCGUAGACACUCACUUGAUACAGAAUAUCCAAGAAAAAUACAUAAUAUUGGUUACAAGACCAUAAAGGUCUAAUGGUUUGGACAAAAGUCUGAGGUUGGCGGCGGAAGCGACUCGAGGAAAUCUCCAGUGUCCAUGGGACUCCAUUCCCACAGGAACAGCUGGCGUGGAUAAAUUCCUAACUCACAAGGAUGC